ensembl:snRNA U6 U6 spliceosomal RNA
AUGCUCAUUUCAGCAGCAAAUACACUAGCAUUGAAAUGAUACAGAGAAGAUUAGCAUGGCUCCUGCACAAGGAUAACACUCAAAUUUGUGAAGCAUUCCAUAUUUUU